AGGGGUAUAGCUCAGUGGUGGGGCACAUGCUCAGCAUGCAUGAGGUCCUGGGUUCAAUCCCCAGUAUCUCCA
rnacentral:tRNA from 1 species